rnacentral:rRNA from 1 species
UGGGGAAUUUUGGACAAUGGGCGAAAGCCUGAUCCAGCAAUGCCGCGUGUGUGAAGAAGGCCUUCGGGUUGUAAAGCACUUUUGUCCGGAAAGAAAUCCUUGGCUCUAAUACAGUCGGGGGAUGACGGUACCGGAAGAAUAAGCACCGGCUAACUACGUGCCAGCAGCCGCGGUAAUACGCAGGGUGCAAGCGUUAAUCGGAAUUACUGGGCGUAAAGCGUGCGCAGGCGGUUUGCUAAGACCGAUGUGAAAUCCCCGGGCUCAACCUGGGAACUGCAUUGGUGACUGGCAGGCUAGAGUAUGGCAGAGGGGGGUAGAUGUCCACGUGUAGCAGUGAAAUGCGUAGAGAUGUGGAGGAAUACCGAUGGCGAAGGCAGCCCCCUGGGCCAAUACUGACGCUCAUGCACGAAAGCGUGGGGAGCAAACAGGAUUAGAUACCCUGGUAGUCCACGCCCUAAACGAUGUCAACUAGUUGUUGGGGAUUCAUUUCCUUAGUAACGUAGCUAACGCGUGAAGUUGACCGCCUGGGGAGUACGGUCGCAAGAUUAAAACUCAAUGAAUUGACGGGGUCAUAGCUGUUUCCU